rnacentral:rRNA from 1 species
GGGUUGUGAGGUUAAGCGACUAAGCGUACACGGUGGAUGCCCUGGCAGUCAGAGGCGAUGAAGGACGUGCUAAUCUGCGAAAAGCGCCGGCGAGGUGAUAUGAACCCUUGACCCGGCGAUGUCCGAAUGGGGAAACCCAGUGUGUUCCGACACACUAUCGUUAACUGAAUACAUAGGUUAACGAGGCGAACCGGGGGAACUGAAACAUCUAAGUACCCCGAGGAAAAGAAAUCAACCGAGAUUCCCCCAGUAGCGGCGAGCGAACGGGGAGCAGCCCGGAGUCUGAAUCAGCUUGUGUGUUAGUGGAACGGUCUGGAAAGUCCGACGGUACAGGGUGAUAGUCCCGUACACGAAAACACACUUGCUGUGAACUCGAAGAGUAGGGCGGGACACGUGGUAUCCUGUCUGAAUAUGGGGGGACCAUCCUCCAAGGCUAAAUACUCCUGACUGACCGAUAGUGAACCAGUACCGUGAGGGAAAGGCGAAAAGAACCCCGGCGAGGGGAGUGAAAAAGAACCUGAAACCGUGUACGUACAAGCAGUGGGAGCACCUUCGGGUGUGACUGCGUACCUUUUGUAUAAUGGGUCAGCGACUUAUAUUCUGUAGCAAGGUUAACCGUAUAGGGGAGCCGAAGGGAAACCGAGUCUUAACUGGGCGUUAAGUUGCAGGGUAUAGACCCGAAACCCGGUGAUCUAGCCAUGGGCAGGUUGAAGGUUGGGUAACACUAACUGGAGGACCGAACCGACUAAUGUUGAAAAAUUAGCGGAUGACCUGUGGCUGGGGGUGAAAGGCCAAUCAAACCGGGAGAUAGCUGGUUCUCCCCGAAAGCUAUUUAGGUAGCGCCUCGUGAACUCAUCUUCGGGGGUAGAGCACUGUUUCGGCUAGGGGGCCAUCCCGGCUUACCAACCCGAUGCAAACUACGAAUACCGAAGAAUGUUAUCACGGGAGACACACGGCGGGUGCUAACGUCCGUCGUGAAGAGGGAAACAACCCAGACCGCCAGCUAAGGUCCCAAAGUCAUGGUUAAGUGGGAAACGAUGUGGGAAGGCACAGACAGCCAGGAUGUUGGCUUAGAAGCAGCCAUCAUUUAAAGAAAGCGUAAUAGCUCACUGGUCGAGUCGGCCUGCGCGGAAGAUGUAACGGGGCUAAACCAUGCACCGAAGCUGCGGCAGCGACACUUAUGUGUUGUUGGGUAGGGGAGCGUUCUGUAAGCCGUUGAAGGUGUGCUGUGAGGCAUGCUGGAGGUAUCAGAAGUGCGAAUGCUGACAUAAGUAACGAUAAAGCGGGUGAAAAGCCCGCUCGCCGGAAGACCAAGGGUUCCUGUCCAACGUUAAUCGGGGCAGGGUGAGUCGACCCCUAAGGCGAGGCCGAAAGGCGUAGUCGAUGGGAAACAGGUUAAUAUUCCUGUACUUGGUGUUACUGCGAAGGGGGGACGGAGAAGGCUAUGUCAGCCGGGCGACGGUUGUCCCGGUUUAAGCAUGUAGGCGGAGGUUCCAGGUAAAUCCGGUACCUUAUUAACGCUGAGGUGUGAUGACGAGGCACUACGGUGCUGAAGUGAUAAAUGCCCUGCUUCCAGGAAAAGCCUCUAAGCAUCAGGUAACACGAAAUCGUACCCCAAACCGACACAGGUGGUCAGGUAGAGAAUACCAAGGCGCUUGAGAGAACUCGGGUGAAGGAACUAGGCAAAAUGGUGCCGUAACUUCGGGAGAAGGCACGCUGAUAUGUAGGUGAAGCCCCUGCGGGCGGAGCUGAAAUCAGUCGAAGAUACCAGCUGGCUGCAACUGUUUAUUAAAAACACAGCACUGUGCAAACACGAAAGUGGACGUAUACGGUGUGACGCCUGCCCGGUGCCGGAAGGUUAAUUGAUGGGGUUAGCGGCAACGCGAAGCUCUUGAUCGAAGCCCCGGUAAACGGCGGCCGUAACUAUAACGGUCCUAAGGUAGCGAAAUUCCUUGUCGGGUAAGUUCCGACCUGCACGAAUGGCGUAAUGAUGGCCAGGCUGUCUCCACCCGAGACUCAGUGAAAUUGAACUCGCUGUGAAGAUGCAGUGUACCCGCGGCAAGACGGAAAGACCCCGUGAACCUUUACUAUAGCUUGACACUGAACACUGGUCCUUGAUGUGUAGGAUAGGUGGGAGGCUUUGAAGCGUGGACGCCAGUCUGCGUGGAGCCGUCCUUGAAAUACCACCCUUUAAUGGCUGGUGUUCUAACGUAGACCCGUGAUCCGGGUUGCGGACAGUGUCUGGUGGGUAGUUUGACUGGGGCGGUCUCCUCCCAAAGAGUAACGGAGGAGCACGAAGGUUGGCUAAUCCUGGUCGGACAUCAGGAGGUUAGUGCAAUGGCAUAAGCCAGCUUGACUGCGAGCGUGACGGCGCGAGCAGGUGCGAAAGCAGGUCAUAGUGAUCCGGUGGUUCUGAAUGGAAGGGCCAUCGCUCAACGGAUAAAAGGUACUCCGGGGAUAACAGGCUGAUACCGCCCAAGAGUUCAUAUCGACGGCGGUGUUUGGCACCUCGAUGUCGGCUCAUCACAUCCUGGGGCUGAAGUAGGUCCCAAGGGUAUGGCUGUUCGCCAUUUAAAGUGGUACGCGAGCUGGGUUUAGAACGUCGUGAGACAGUUCGGUCCCUAUCUGCCGUGGGCGCUGGAGAAUUGAGGGGGGCUGCUCCUAGUACGAGAGGACCGGAGUGGACGCAUCACUGGUGUUCGGGUUGUCAUGCCAAUGGCACUGCCCGGUAGCUAAAUGCGGAAGAGAUAAGUGCUGAAAGCAUCUAAGCACGAAACUUGCCCCGAGAUGAGUUCUCCCUGAGACUUUGAGUCUCCUGAAGGAACGUUGAAGACGACGACGUUGAUAGGUCGGGUGUGUAAGCGCAGCGAUGCGUUGAGCUAACCGAUACUAAUGAACCGUGAGGCUUAACCUUACAACGCCGAAGGUGUUU